CAACCAGUAAAGUCACAGGUUUGCCCUGACUUUUGUAGUGACCAUGGGCUCUCAAGGUCCCAGUUUGAUAGAGCUUGGUCUGUCCUAUCCAUCCAGGCCCAACAGGGAAUCUACCUGGCACUGAAAUACCUGGGUAGAUGGACACCUAGGGAUUAAGUGAAGCAGGCUGAGGCUGAUUGCUUUUCUCCAUCGACUUCUCACCUGUGUGACCUGUGGUAAGCUACUUAACCUCUCUGAGUGCAGGUCUCCUCUUUUGUAUGUCAAGCAAAAAAUCUGUUGCUUUUACCCGGCUCAUGUCCCUGGCCCCUCCUGCUGGUGACAAAGCUUCU
rnacentral:lncRNA from 1 species